rnacentral:rRNA from 1 species
GACGAACGCUGGCGGCGUGCUCAACACAUGCAAGUCGAGCGGAGCGGCGAACGGGUGAGUAACUCGUGAGUAACUGCCCCCCUCUCUGGGAUUACAGUUGGAAACGGCUGCUAAUACCGGAUAGUGGGGGAUGACUCGCGUCCUAUCAGCUUGUUGGUGGGGUAGUGGCCUACAAAGGCGACGACGGGUAGCCGGCCUGAGAGGGCGACCGGCCACACUGGGCUGGAGAACGGCCCGAACUCCUCCGGGAGGCAGCAAUGAGGAGUAUUGCACAAAGGGGGAAACCCUGAUGCAGCAACGCCGCGUGCGGGAUGACGGAGUUCGGGUUGUAAACCGCUUUCAGCCAUGACGCGGUAGUGGCAGAAGAAGCACCGGCUAACUACGUGCCAGCAGCCGCGGUAAUAC